AAUAUGGGACAUUGGGGGCAACCCUGAUCCAGCCAUGCCGCGUGUGUGAAGAAGGUCUUCGGAUUGUAAAGCACUUUAAGUUGGGAGGAAGGGCCUUAGGUUAAUACCCUGAAGUUUUGACGUUACCAACAGAAUAAGCACAGGCUAACUCUGUGUCAGCAGCCGCGGUAAUACAGAGGGUGCAAGCGUUAAUCGGAAUUACUGGGCGUAAAGCGCGCGUAGGUGGUUCAGUAAGAUGGGUGUGAGAUCCCCGGGCUUAACCUGGGAACUGCUUUCAUAACUGCUGAGCUAGAGUACGGUAGAGGGUGGUGGAAUUUCCUGUGUAGCGGUGAAAUGCGUAGAUAUAGGAAGGAACACCAGUGGCGGAGGCGACUACCUGGACUGAUACUGACACUGAGGUGCGAAAGCGUGGGGAGCAAACAG
rnacentral:rRNA from 1 species